UAGUAUGUUGACGUAUUCUGAAAGGGAUACUUCUUCGGACAAUAUACAAGGUGCUGCAUGGUUGUUCGUCAGCUCGUGCCGUGAGGUGUCGGGUUAAGGUCCCAUAACGAGCGCAACCCCUAUCAUUAGUUGCCAUCAGGUCAAGCUGGGGACUCUAAUGAAACUGCCUACGCAAGUAGUGAGGAAGGUGGGGAUGACGUCAAAUCAGCACGGCCCUUACGUCCAGGGCUACGCACGUGCUACAAUGGUCGGUACAAAGGGUUGCCAAGCCGCGAGGUGGAGCUAAUCCCAUAAAACCGAUCGUAGUCCGGAUCGCAGUCUGCAACUCGACUGCGUGAAGUCGGAAUCGCUAGUAAUCGUGAAUCAGAAUGUCACGGUGAAUACGUUCCCGGGCCUU
rnacentral:rRNA from 1 species